AAGUUUGGGGUUGCAUGGGCGAAAAUUGAAAAGCAAUUGAAAAAGCAUUGAGCUCAAAUGUUGUGAAAGAAAAAUACAUGAGAAAAAGAAAAGAAAAGAAAAAAAAGCAUGAAGAUGAGCUCAAUGAAAAAGAAAAGGGAAAAAGUUGGGAAUAAGUGAGAUUGGUGAGGAAGAGAGUUGUGCUUAAAUGUUGAAUACUAUGAUAGCUCUCUUAACUCAAGGACUUUGCAUUCCAGAAAAACCAAUUCUUCUUGUUAGCCCAGCCUCAUUACA
rnacentral:lncRNA from 1 species